UUUGGUUAAGUUAGAAAGGGCGCACGGUGGAUGCCUUGACACUAGGAGUCGAUGAAGGACGGGACUAACGCCGAUAUGCUUCGGGGAGCUGUAAGUAAGCUUUGAUCCGAAGAUUUCCGAAUGGGGAAACCCACCAUACGUAAUGGUAUGGUAUCCUUAUCUGAAUACAUAGGGUAAGGAAGACAGACCCAGGGAACUGAAACAUCUAAGUACCUGGAGGAAGAGAAAGCAAAUGCGAUUUCCUGAGUAGCGGCGAGCGAAACGGAACAUAGCCCAAACCAAGAGGCUUGCCUCUUGGGGUUGUAGGACAUUCUAUACGGAGUUACAAAGGAACGAGGUAGACGAAGCGACCUGGAAAGGUCCGUCGUAGAGGGUAACAACCCCGUAGUCGAAACUUCGUUCUCUCUUGAAUGUAUCCUGAGUACGGCGGAACACGUGAAAUUCCGUCGGAAUCUGGGAGGACCAUCUCCCAAGGCUAAAUACUCCCUAGUGAUCGAUAGUGAACCAGUACCGUGAGGGAAAGGUGAAAAGCACCCCGGAAGGGGAGUGAAAGAGAUCCUGAAACCGUGUGCCUACAAAUAGUCAGAGCCCGUUAACGGGUGAUGGCGUGCCUUUUGUAGAAUGAACCGGCGAGUUACGAUCCCGUGCGAGGUUAAGCUGAAGAGGCGGAGCCGCAGCGAAAGCGAGUCUGAAUAGGGCGUUUAGUACGUGGUCGUAGACCCGAAACCAGGUGAUCUACCCAUGUCCAGGGUGAAGUUCAGGUAACACUGAAUGGAGGCCCGAACCCACGCACGUUGAAAAGUGCGGGGAUGAGGUGUGGGUAGCGGAGAAAUUCCAAUCGAACCUGGAGAUAGCUGGUUCUCCCCGAAAUAGCUUUAGGGCUAGCCUUAAGUGUAAGAGUCUUGGAGGUAGAGCACUGAUUGGACUAGGGGUCCUCAUCGGAUUACCGAAUUCAGUCAAACUCCGAAUGCCAAUGACUUAUCCUUAGGAGUCAGACUGCGAGUGAUAAGAUCCGUAGUCAAAAGGGAAACAGCCCAGACCGCCAGCUAAGGUCCCAAAGUGUGUAUUAAGUGGAAAAGGAUGUGGAGUUGCUUAGACAACUAGGAUGUUGGCUUAGAAGCAGCCACCAUUUAAAGAGUGCGUAAUAGCUCACUAGUCGAGUGACUCUGCGCCGAAAAUGUACCGGGGCUAAAUACACCACCGAAGCUGCGGAUUGAUACCAAUGGUAUCAGUGGUAGGGGAGCGUUCUAAGGACAGUGAAGUCAGACCGGAAGGACUGGUGGAGUGCUUAGAAGUGAGAAUGCCGGUAUGAGUAGCGAAAGACGGGUGAGAAUCCCGUCCACCGAAUGCCUAAGGUUUCCUGAGGAAGGCUCGUCCGCUCAGGGUUAGUCAGGACCUAAGCCGAGGCCGACAGGCGUAGGCGAUGGACAACAGGUUGAUAUUCCUGUACCACCUCUUUAUCGUUUGAGCAAUGGAGGGACGCAGAAGGAUAGAAGAAGCGUGCGAUUGGUUGUGCACGUCCAAGCAGUUAGGCUGAUAAGUAGGCAAAUCCGCUUAUCGUGAAGGCUGAGCUGUGAUGGGGAAGCUCCUUAUGGAGCGAAGUCUUUGAUUCCCCGCUGCCAAGAAAAGCUUCUAGCGAGAUAAAAGGUGCCUGUACCGCAAACCGACACAGGUAGGCGAGGAGAGAAUCCUAAGGUGUGCGAGAGAACUCUGGUUAAGGAACUCGGCAAAAUGACCCCGUAACUUCGGGAGAAGGGGUGCUUUCUUAACGGAAAGCCGCAGUGAAUAGGCCCAAGCGACUGUUUAGCAAAAACACAGCUCUCUGCGAAGCCGUAAGGCGAAGUAUAGGGGGUGACACCUGCCCGGUGCUGGAAGGUUAAGGAGAGGGGUUAGCGUAAGCGAAGCUCUGAACUGAAGCCCCAGUAAACGGCGGCCGUAACUAUAACGGUCCUAAGGUAGCGAAAUUCCUUGUCGGGUAAGUUCCGACCCGCACGAAAGGUGUAACGAUUUGGGCACUGUCUCAACCAGAGACUCGGUGAAAUUAUAGUACCUGUGAAGAUGCAGGUUACCCGCGACAGGACGGAAAGACCCCGUGGAGCUUUACUGUAGCCUGAUAUUGAAUUUUGGUACAGUUUGUACAGGAUAGGCGGGAGCCUUUGAAACCGGAGCGCUAGCUUCGGUGGAGGCGCUGGUGGGAUACCGCCCUGACUGUAUUGAAAUUCUAACCUACGGGUCUUAUCGACCCGGGAGACAGUGUCAGGUGGGCAGUUUGACUGGGGCGGUCGCCUCCUAAAGUGUAACGGAGGCGCCCAAAGGUUCCCUCAGAAUGGUUGGAAAUCAUUCGUAGAGUGCAAAGGCAUAAGGGAGCUUGACUGCGAGACCUACAAGUCGAGCAGGGACGAAAGUCGGGCUUAGUGAUCCGGUGGUUCCGCAUGGAAGGGCCAUCGCUCAACGGAUAAAAGCUACCCCGGGGAUAACAGGCUUAUCUCCCCCAAGAGUCCACAUCGACGGGGAGGUUUGGCACCUCGAUGUCGGCUCAUCGCAUCCUGGGGCUGUAGUCGGUCCCAAGGGUUGGGCUGUUCGCCCAUUAAAGCGGUACGCGAGCUGGGUUCAGAACGUCGUGAGACAGUUCGGUCCCUAUCCGUCGUGGGCGUAGGAAAUUUGAGAGGAGCUGUCCUUAGUACGAGAGGACCGGGAUGGACGCACCGCUGGUGUACCAGUUGUUCUGCCAAGGGCAUAGCUGGGUAGCUAUGUGCGGAAGGGAUAAGUGCUGAAAGCAUCUAAGCAUGAAGCCCCCCUCAAGAUGAGAUUUCCCAUAGCGUAAGCUAGUAAGAUCCCUGAAAGAUGAUCAGGUUGAUAGGUUCGAGGUGGAAGCAUGGUGACAUGUGGAGCUGACGAAUACUAAUAGAUCGAGGCCUUAAGCAUAUAA
rnacentral:rRNA from 1 species